ensembl:snRNA U6 U6 spliceosomal RNA
GUGUUCACUUUGGCAGCACCUAUACUAAAAUUGGAACAAUACAGAGGAGAUUAGCAUGGCCCUUUUGCAAGGACGACACGCAAAUUUGUGAAGCAUUCCGUAUUUAA